UAGAGUCAAGGGUGGGAGAAGAGCGGAGCAUGUGAGCAGCACAGCGGCCUUCUCUCCUCUCCUCACCUCGCUCUGGUGGCCUACCUUUACCUGUCCACCUGCUCAGUGCCCAGAACACCUUCCACCAUGACCACCUCAGCAAGUUCCCACUUAAACAAAGGCAUCAAGCAGGUGUACAUGGCCCCCUGCCUCAGGAUGAGAAAGUCCAGGUUAUGUAUUUCUGGAACAAUGGUUCUGGGGAAGGACUGCACUGCAAGACCCGGACCCUGGACAUGAGCCCAAGUGUGUGGAAGAGUGGCCUGAGUGGAAUUCUGAUACCUCUAGUACUUUACAGCCUGAAGGCUCCAACAGUGACAUGUAUCUCGUGCCUGCUGCCAUGUUUCGGGACCCCUUCCGUAAGGACCCUAACAAGUUGGUGUUGUGUGUGAAGUUUUCAAGUACGAUCGAAAGCCAGCAGAGACCAAUUUGAGGCACACCUGUAAACGGAUAAUGGACAUGGUGAGCAACCAGCACUCCUGGUUUGGCAUGGAACAGGAAUAUGCCCUCAUGGGAACAGACGGGCACUCCUUUGGUUGGCCUUCCAACCGCUUCCCAGGGCCCCAGCGUCCAUAUAACUGCGGUGUGGGAGCAGACAGAGCCUACGGCAGGAACAUCGUGGAGGCCCAUUACCGGGCCUGCUUGUAUGCUGGAGUCAAGAUACAAGCAGGGACGAAUACCAAGGUCAUGCCUGCCCAGUGGGAAUUUCCAAUUGGACCCUGUGAAGGAAUCAGCAUGGGAGAUCAUCUCUGGGUGGCCUGUUUCAUCUUGCAUCGUGUAUGUGAAGACUCUGGAGUGAUGGCAAUCUUUGAUCCUAAGCCCAUUCCCGGAAACUGGAAUGGUUCAGGCUGCCAUACUGACUUUAGCACCAAGGCCAUGUGGGAGGAGAAUGGUCUGAAGUACAUUGAGGAGGCCAUCGAGAAACUAAGCAAGCAGCACCAGUACCACAGCCACACCUAUGGUCCCAAGGGAGGCCUGGACAAUGCCUGAAGCCUAACUAGAUCCCAUCAAACCUCCAACAUCAGUGACUUUUCUGCUGGUGUAGCCAAUCGUAGCACCAGCAUACGCAUUCCUCAGACUGUAGGGCAGGAGAAGAAGGGUCACUUUGAAGACUGUCGCCCCUCUGCCAACUGCAUUCCCUUUUCUGAAUUCAGAAGCCCUCAUCUGAAUGUGUCUUCUCAAUGAAACCAGCAAUGAGCCCUUCCAGUACAAAAACUAAGUGAACUGGACCUCCCGCUGUGAGCCCCUCCUGCUUCUUUAUCCCACUCCAACUCUUCCCCCUCUACCGGUUGUCCCAAUUGUAACUGGAAGGGUGGAAUAUCAAGGUUUUUUUUUU